AAGGGCGGAGUAUGACGCAUCAGCAUCACCACAGCGUGGAGGAUAGAACAUGAGAUGCAGCAAGUCAAUCAAAAUUGCAGCCCCCUCGUACAGACACACAAACACAAAGCUUAAACAACCCUGAAACACCAAUUCUUCCAGUCCUCUCAGUGUGUUUUAAAUGCUUUGAACAGCUACAGACAUUAGACAGCAAACAUAUUUAUUGGUUUUCCUCUCUCUCUAACUUUUUUUGUUCAUCUGCAUCCAUUCCUCUUAGGCCUGGCAGAUUCUAAACGAAGGUUAGAAUGGAAGCCCAGCAGGCCUGAGGUCUUGUUGAAAAAUGCCUCAUUAAAGCAAAGUAAGGAGCAUUUUAAGAAGAUCUGCAGCGUAAUGUGUGUACAAAACAAAUCAUCAAUCUGUCAAAAGUCCAAAUAUGUCAAAGACAGACGAGGAAUUUACAGGUUUCUCUCUCCACAGAGCUUUAAUACCAACUGUAGACACUCUAAGAAUUCCUGAAGGACUUCAGAUUAGGAAGGAACAGAAAGGACACAUUUCAGCCAAGGAAACCUGGUCCAGAGGUUCAUCAACAUCAGCAAUCCUGAUAAUCCAAAAUGAGCACACCUUAAACCAUGUUGGCUGGAAGAAUAGGGAAAUACAAUGUGAGGCUGUUUGUCUCUUGAAGAGUUUCCUUAAUGCCCGAAUUUGUUGCAAGUGUUUUAAGAAGAAAAACAAAAAUCAGAAUGUCAGAAAAGCUUUUUUUAUAGUAGGCUGCAGACCUAACAUUAAGGAAUGGAUGCAAAUGAAUAACAUUUGGUUGACAAAGUCAAACAAUAAAUAUUAUGCCUUCUCACUUUGACAUGCAGGCAUUUGGUGAUGCACUGUGAUAUAAUGUACGCAUACAUACUGUUUUAUGGCUAGAAAUAACAUCACAUCUAUUACAGUAAACAUUAAUGUCUUUUAAUGUAACCCGUCUCUGGUUCAGCUUCAUUUACAUUCUGUUUCGGUCCUUUAUUUGAAAUAAACAUGUUCCUUUUUAUCUUGAAUCAGCAGUCAGUGUUUCAGUCAUACUGACUUCAAGGACCUGAUAAAGUUCCCAUAGACCAGAACAGCAGCAGACAGGAGAUCAUCAUUGAACAUCAUAGAGGACAUGGUUGACAUUUGAAUGACGAAUGUAUGUGAAGAAACUUGUGCCAUCACAAACUGAAUUUGAAUUGCUCAGACUGAAUCUGUAUUUGCGUAAUUUGAAUUAAUGCAUCGGUUUAAAAAUGAAUUUCACUAAACUGAAUUUGUUUGCUUUGAAAAUGGCUUUGCUUCUUAUUGAAAAUUCAGUUUGAUUAUUUUCACUUCUAAAAAUUCUGUUUUUUGUGUCACACAUCAGGGCCCUUGAAGCCACAGAUUAAUCAAACACAGAUUUACUGAUUCAUGGAUGUCAUUCACUAUUGCUGUGUCCAAAUUCAGGGGUUGCAUCCUUUUGAAGGUCGCAUUUAUAGGCCGAUUACGUCAUGGAGAAGCAACGAACCCUAUCCAACUUCGAAGGCUCCUUCAAAUGCGUCCUUCUUUUCACCAGAUUUGAUGGGGGAAAAUGGGUCCGGUGUAUCCUUUACCCUAUCCCAUGAUUCAUUGCGGGUCGAGGUCCAUUGUUUAAACAAAAGUAACAAAGACCGGAUAUGCAGUGCAUUCUUUGAAACAAAAUGAACUUUUACAAUGUUUUUAGACAAGAAUGCAGUUGUGUAAAUCUGAAAUACCUGACUGGUUUAUAAAGAUAUCGCUUAAUUGCACAAGUGCGCUAACGUGUUCGGAGAUGUCCGCUGGCCCAGCAGCCGGCUCGCCUCGCCAGCUGUCAGCUGACCGGGUGGUUGAGGUGCGCUAAACCCAGAGAGAACAGCUGACUCCCGGCACAUUGUUUUCAAAGUCCUGCUGGUUUUCCCCAAUGGAUGGAAGUUAAACAGAUAUUAAUAUUAGAUAUCAUCUGACUGAAUUAUGUUUGUUUUAUUUACAAUAAUAAUAAUAAUUAUUAUUAUUAUUAUUAGUAGUAGUAGUAGUAGUAGUAGUAUGCUCUACAAAAAAAGUGAUUUAAACUUUGUUAAUAUGUUUAAGUUGUUAAAAGCUUUACAAAUAAAUUAAACAAAUGUUAUUUGUCAUCGCUGUAUUUUAUCUACAGUUUUAGAUUUUUAUAUAUAUGACCAUAAAAAGUUUGAACAUUUUAAAUGGCUUGAUAAUGAACAAGAUCAUAAAACAAGGACAUUUUAAACAAAAUAGGAUUAUAAGCCAUCAUCAAUACGUAAAAGGGUAAAUAAAGUAAUGUUUACUAAAAACAUGAAGUAAACAUGUAGUUAUUUGCAGUGCAGACAGCGGUAUUAACCUUCUGGCUCCAUUUGUUCGGUUUCACAGCUCUGCUCUUCACGCCAGCGCCGUAGAAAGAGAAAGUUACGACACUCCCAUUGACUUCUAUAGAAAGAAUGGAAUGCGGAAGUCACGUGGUUCAUGGAGCUGCUAAUAGGUCCAAACAGCAGCAUUGGACGUAGUUCAUUCUCAGUGCUUCGUAAGGAUUUUUUACGAUAAACCACACGAGAAUGGCUUAAGUGAACUGCAGAACCAUGUUGCAUACAAAGCGCCACAAAGAGUAUCCAUGGCAUUUGGGAGCUCCAUGACAGAUUUAUUGGACCUCGUUCUGAAACGUUUUUCAACUUUCUGGACCAGACUGAAGGCUUCAUGUGAUGGCCGACACAGCACUCCUGGUUUGAAUUCCUUCAGUAUCAAUAGGGUACUGUGCUCUACUUCUGAAGUGUCAUCAGUUUGCUUAAUUGAACUUGAGCAUCCAUCACAGAUGUUGGAAUGUUUGAUGACUUUAUUCACAAUGUAUCCUGUAAGAUGGUACAGAAUACAUGUUUCGCUGUUGGUGAGGUCAGGAGUAUCUGUGUUUCCAAUCAGCUGCGAAGGCCAGGACUGGGAAAUGUCUCCUUAAUGUCCAGGAACUCUGCCAGAAGACUGCCGCCAUCCUCCUGAUAGCUUCCUGAUUUUACAGUUGUAAGAAACUGCCCAACUGAGAUUGAUCUCAGUGCCUGGUGAAACUCCACUGGUGUUGGGACUGGAUUCCUUUGCCUUAUGCAGCUGAACAAGUUUUCAAGGCAGUCCUGAGUAAACCUGCUUGUCAACACAAACAUGUGUCCAUGGUCAAGCAUGUCUUUCUGAAUACCUAAAAUUGUAGAAGUUGCCAUCACAAUUCCUGUUUGCACUGGUUUCCAGCUUCCUGUAGGACCUAUUCUAAGUCCACUGAAGAGUGCCAACAUGUCUUGGAGGAAUUUAAUAGCUUUGUUGUACUCUUCCAUCUUAUGCCUGCUGAGUCCCAUCACAGGGUGACGAGAGGACAUGAGAUCAAACCAGUGGUUCACCUGCUCCAGAAACCAGGCUGUUGUCAGAUUAGAGGUGGGUCGCUGCUCCUGCUCCACCAUGUAUUUCAGACCUGCACUUGCUGACUUACUAAAGACAUUCAAUGCAGGUUUUUUGUGAAAGAUUUGGAGCAAUUUUCAAAGGCAUUUGUUCCUGAAAAUCUACCAAAUCUUUCAAAGGACCCAGUGAAACCUCACUGUGUUGCAGACUCUCUUUUUGUACAAUCUCUGGUGGAAUUGUGAAGGUCUGACCACUAACCAGGGCACUCUUCAAAUUCUUCAUCAGAUGAGGGACAUCUGGCAUGAAGUACAGCCUUUUGUCUGGUCUUACUGGGUGUUGGACAAAUGUUUUCUAGUGGCCGACUCCAAAAGCCCACCACAUCGCUCAGUUAGCACUGCCCAUGUCAGUGAUGAUGUUUACCACAAGACCUAUAGAAGCUGCUCUCUCAAUGAUCUCUAGGAUGACUGGCUUGUAAUUAGCUCCAUUAGUGGAAUUGCCACUAAAAUGGUAACCCACAACUUGCUUCCAUCUUGUUGUACUUCCUGCCAACAUAAAAACACAUGCAUGUGUUGCAGCUCCUGUGUGACCAGGCAGCGUCACAUCCCCGAACAGCUUCCCUGUUCCUAGGUGCAGCUCCACACUAGGGGUGAUUGCCAUUUCAUCUAGAGUUCAUUCCUCCUCUUUGGUUCUGGGCGAUGAAGAAAAAGGGUUGGAACGGCAUCAGCCCUCAGUCUCACUUGGCCUGACUGUGCCCUCACAAACUGUCCUUUUUCAAAGUGUGCCUGUAAAGUGAUUUAUUUAUUUAUUUUCUUGCACAUUUCAUUAGGCCCUUGUGCAUUUUCCAGUGCAGUGUGCAGAUUGAACUUACAGCACAUAGUUUCCUGUUGUUGUGACCUCUGGUGAUGGUGAGGUUGCUUCUACUGACUUGAACCAACCAUUUUUUCCUUCUUUCAGGAUCUUUUGGGAAGCCAUACAUACGGAUUCCUUUCUCUGACCAAUUGGUGCAUCCAAAUGCAGCACACCCAACCAUGGUAGCCUGCUGAACCUACAGAGGAACACAUUUACUUUUUUGUGUGCCUUCUAGCUAUGAUAUUGUUUCUGUAUUGUUUUCUGGGAGGUCAGCAGAUGUGGUGACUGACUUCAAAGGGAGCUGCUGCCAAUGAUGCCAAGGAGGGUGAACCCUCAUUCGGACUUGGGCACAUUUCUACCUUGUCCAGAUUUGAUCAGAUACAGUUUAUUGGUGCAGAUGUAAAUAAUAAACUGUAUAAAUGGUAGUGCAAGUAGUUAUUUAUUAAAGCUAGUUUUGCAUUUUACAUAUCUUACAAUAAAUUGUUUGGUCAUUUA